rnacentral:rRNA from 1 species
AUUGAACGCUGGCGGCAUGCCUUACACAUGCAAGUCGAACGGCAGCACGGGGGCAACCCUGGUGGCGAGUGGCGAACGGGUGAGUAAUGCAUCGGAACGUGCCCAGUAGUGGGGGAUAACCAGUCGAAAGACUGGCUAAUACCGCAUACGACCCAAGGGUGAAAGCGGGGGACCGUAAGGCCUCGCGGUAUUGGAGCGGCCGAUGUCUGAUUAGCUAGUUGGCGGGGUAAGAGCCCACCAAGGCGACGAUCAGUAGCUGGUCUGAGAGGACGAACAGGCACAUGGGGACUGUGGCACGGCGGAGACUCCUACGGGAGGCAGCAGUGGGGAAUUUUGGACAAUGGGGGAAAGCCUGAUCCAGCCAUGCCGCGUGCGGGAAGAAUGCCUUCGGGUUGUACACCGCUUUUGGCAGGAACGAAACGGCGCAGGCCAAUACCUUGCGCUAAUGACGGUACCUGCAGAAUAAGCACCGGCUAACUACGUGCCAGCAGCCGCUGUAA